rnacentral:siRNA from 1 species
AUGCAAUGUAUGAUGAUGCUUAGG